UGGCCUAAGAAAUCAAGCGUGGGUGAGACCUGGUGCAGAACAGGAAGGCGACCCAUACUUGGUUUCAGAGGCUG
rfam:Ovis aries breed Texel chromosome 1, whole genome shotgun sequence.